GUGGGGAAUAUUGGACAAUGGGCGAAAGCCUGAUCCAGCCAUGCCGCGUGUGUGAAGAAGACCUUUUGGUUGUAAAGCACUUUAAGUGGGGAGGAGGCUUACCUGGUUAAUACCUGGGCUAAGUGGACGUUACCCACAGAAUAAGCACCGGCUAACUCUGUGCCAGCAGCCGCGGUAAUACAGAGGGUGCGAGCGUUAAGCGGAUUUACUGGGCGUAAAGCGCGCGUAGGUGGUUAAUUAAGUCAAAUGUGAAAUCCCCGAGCUUAACUUGGGAAUUGCAUUCGAUACUGGUUGGCUAGAGUAUGGGAGAGGAUGGUAGAAUUCCAGGUGUAGCGGUGAAAUGCGUAGAGAUCUGGAGGAAUACCGAUGGCGAAGGCAGCCAUCUGGCCUAAUACUGACCCUGAGGUGCGAAAGCAUGGGGAGCAAACAGGAUUAGAUACCCGUGUAGUCC
rnacentral:rRNA from 1 species